rnacentral:rRNA from 1 species
AUUAUAAUGACUCUCGGCAACGGAUAUCUAGGCUCUUGCAUCGAUGAAGAACGUAGCGAAAUGCGAUACUUGGUGUGAAUUGCAGAAUCCCGUGAACCAUCGAGUCUUUGAACGCAAGUUGCGCCCGAUGCCAUUAGGUUGAGGGCACGUCUGCCUGGGUGUCACAU